rnacentral:tRNA from 6 species
CGGGGCGUGGCGCAGCUUGGUAGCGCGGGUGCUUUGGGAGCACUAGGUCGCAGGUUCGAAUCCUGUCGCCCCGAUCA